UGGGGAAUAUUGGGCAAUGGGCGCAAGCCUGACCCAGCAACGCCGCGUGAAGGAAGAAGGCUUUCGGGUUGUAAACUUCUUUUGUCAGGGACGAGAAGAAGACGGUACCUGACGAAUAAGCCACGGCUAACUACGUGCCAGCAGCCGCGGUAAUACGGAGGAUGCGAGCGUUAUCCGGAUUUAUUGGGUUUAAAGGGUGCGCAGGCGGCGCGCCAAGUCAGCGGUCAAAGUUCCGGGCUCAACCCGGUGUCGCCGUUGAAACUGGCGUGCUCGAGUGCGUGCGAGGAAGGCGGAAUGCGUUGUGUAGCGGUGAAAUGCAUAGAUAUGACGCAGAACUCCGAUUGCGAAGGCAGCUUUCCAGCGCGCUACUGACGCUGAGGCACGAAAGCGUGGGGAUCGAACAGGAUUAGAUACCCUGGUAGU
rnacentral:rRNA from 1 species